UACGUAGGGUGCGAGCGUUGUCCGGAAUUACUGGGCGUAAAGAGCUCGUAGGUGGUUUGUCGCGUUGUUCGUGAAAACCUGAGGCUUAACCUUGGGCGUGCGGGCGAUACGGGCAGACUGGAGUACUGCAGGGGAGACUGGAAUUCCUGGUGUAGCGGUGGAAUGCGCAGAUAUCAGGAGGAACACCGGUGGCGAAGGCGGCUACCUGGACAGAAACUGACGCUGAGGCGCGAAAGCUAGGGGAGCAAACAGG
rnacentral:rRNA from 1 species